rnacentral:rRNA from 1 species
CCUACGGGUGGCUGCAGUGGGGAAUAUUGGACAAUGGGGGCAACCCUGAUCCAGCCAUGCCGCGUGUGUGAAGAAGGCCCUCGGGUUGUAAAGCACUUUCAGUGAGGAAGAACGCCUGGUGGUUAAUACCCAUCAGGAAAGACAUCACUCACAGAAGAAGCACCGGCUAACUCCGUGCCAGCAGCCGCGGUAAUACGGAGGGUGCGAGCGUUAAUCGGAAUUACUGGGCGUAAAGCGCGCGUAGGUGGCUUGAUAAGCCGGUUGUGAAAGCCCCGGGUUCAACCUGGGAACGGCAUCCGGAACUGUCAAGCUAGAGUGCAGGAGAGGAAGGUAGAAUUCCCGGUGUAGCGGUGAAAUGCGUAGAGAUCGGGAGGAAUACCAGUGGCGAAGGCGGCCUUCUGGACUGACACUGACACUGAGGUGCGAAAGCGUGGGUAGCAAACAGGAUUAGAUACCCUUGUAGUC